GUCAGCUCGUGUCGUGAGAUGUUGGGUUAAGUCCCGCAACGAGCGCAACCCUUGCCCGUAGUUGCCAGCGGAUCAUGCCGGGGACUCUACGGGGACUGCCGGUGAUAAACCGGAGGAAGGUGGGGAUGACGUCAAGUCAUCAUGGCCCUUAUGUCCAGGGCGACACACGUGCUACAAUGGCCGACACAAAGGGCAGCAAUACCGCGAGGUGGAGCGAAUCCCAAAAAGUCGGUCCAAGUUCGGAUUGGAGUCUGCAACCCGACUCCAUGAAGCCGGAAUCGCUAGUAAUCGUAGGUCAGCCAUACUACGGUGAAUACGUUCCCGGGCCUUGUACACACCGCCCGUCAAGCGAUGGAAGCUGGGGGUACCCGAAGCCGGUGGCCUAACCUUCGGGAGGGAGCCGUCGAAGGUAAACUCAGUGACUGGCGCUAAGUCGUAACAAGGUAGCCGUAGGGGAACCUGCGGCUGGAUCACCUCCUUUCUAGGGAG
rnacentral:rRNA from 1 species